rnacentral:lncRNA from 1 species
CUUCAGUCAUACUUCCUUGGCAUUGAACUUGUUGAAAGUGACUUACACUCCUGCAUUAAAAUAACCCAAUCCAGUCACUGUACCUGUGGCUCCCAGCAGGUUUAUCCUCACCUUGGCUGCACCAAGCUUCUCUGUGAUCUCAACCCCAGGGGGAGGACCGAAACCAAACAACACACACAGGAAUAGAUGGCUAUAGAUCCUUACAGUGUAAUAGCUGCAGGUUGGUUAUCCCAGUCAUUGCCCAGACAGCAGGGAAGCCAAUGGGACAGGUGUACUCAGACAGCCGAGAAUCCAAUGGGACAGGUGUACUCAGAGCCAGAGAGCAGCAGUGUUGCUGGCAGGAUCAGGCAAUGCUUGGCUGCAGGUGCAUGAGAUCAGGAGCACCCAGUGUAUACAGUGCUGGGCAUGUGUAGGGGAUUAGCAGGUGCCAGUGUAUACAGUGCUGGACAGGUGUGGGGGAUCAGCAUCCAGUGUAUACAGUGCUGGACAGGCGUGGGGGAUCAGCACCCAGUGUAUACAGUGCUGAACAGGUGUGGGGGAUCAGCAUCCAGUGCUGGACAGGUGUGGGGGAUCAGCAGCAUCCAGUGUGUGCAGUGCUGUGCAGGUGUGGGGGAUCAGCAUCCAGUGUAUACAGUGCUGGACAGGUGUGGGGGAUCAGCAUCCAGUGUAUACAGUGCUGGACAGGUGUGGGGAUCAGCAGCAGCCAGUGUGUGCAGUGCUGUGCAUGGGAUCAGCAGCAGCCAGUGUGUGCAGUGCUGUGCAUGGGAUCAGCAGCAGCCAAUGUGUGCAGUGCUGUGCAUGGGAUCAGCAGCAGCCAGUGUGUGCAGUGCUGGGCAGGUGGGGGGAUCAGCAUCCAGUGUAUACAGUGCUGUGCAGGAGCAUGGGAUCAGCAGCAUCCAGUGUGUGUGUCCAGCUGUGAGCGUAGCACUACUCACUAUUAGCCAGGUAGCGAGGAGUGAGGAGGGGAAGGAAUCCUCCUACGUCAUAUAGAACCCUGGACCUGCCACUUGCCGUGUUCUGCACCGCGCGCCACCAGCUGUGCUUUCAUUGGACGUUCCAAGCUGUAUUGGAAGAUACCACCGGUACCAGCAGCGCUCAGUGUGUGACAGCAAUCAAUGCGUUCUUCGCUUUUUCUUCCCCCUCUGUCACCCUGAGACGUAGGAGCUUCCGUUUGGCAAUGCCAGUCUCCACC